GUCUUUGUAGUAUAAUUAUUACACUGGUCUUGUAAACCAGAAAUGGAGAUUCACACCUCCCUAAGAUA
rnacentral:tRNA from 1 species